rnacentral:RNase_P_RNA from 1 species
UGGAGCAGAAGCGCAACUGACGGUACUCAUCCUUCGGGGUGAGAGCUGAGGAAACUCCCGACUCGUGUCGACGCCGGUCCAACGAAAGAAGGGAGGCGAGAGCCUCGCUCUGGGAACAGAAACGACACCCCCGAACGGGCGUGACAAUGAUACAGACUUGAAUCUGUUGAGGACUCGUUUGGCUUGGCUGAAACGGCCUAUCACCGGUUGAGCAAUUCCAAGAAUACACUGUUGAUGUGCCGACCUGAGGUGUAGGGUAGGAAGCUUAGUUCGAUGUUGCAAGACCUCUGAUCGGUAACUUUCGGAGGUGGAACAGAAUUGGGGUUACUCUCUGGACCA